rnacentral:rRNA from 1 species
AUGAACGCUGGCGGCGUGCCUAAUACAUGCAAGUCGAGCGAACAGAUAAGGAGCUUGCUCCUUUGACGUUAGCGGCGGACGGGUGAGUAACACGUGGGUAACCUACCUAUAAGCCUGGGAUAACUUCGGGAAACCGGAGCUAAUACCGGAUAACAUUUGGAACCGCAUGGUUCUAAAGUGAAAGAUGGUUUUGCUAUCACUUAUAGAUGGACCCGCGCCGUAUUAGCUAGUUGGUAAGGUAACGGCUUACCAAGGCAACGAUACGUAGCCGACCUGAGAGGGUGAUCGGCCACACUGGAACUGAGACACGGUCCAGACUCCUACGGGAGGCAGCAGUAGGGAAUCUUCCGCAAUGGGCGAAAGCCUGACGGAGCAACGCCGCGUGAGUGAUGAAGGGUUUCGGCUCGUAAAACUCUGUUAUUAGGGAAGAACAAACGUGUAAGUAACUGUGCACGUCUUGACGGUACCUAAUCAGAAAGCCACGGCUAACUACGUG